rnacentral:rRNA from 1 species
GCUACGGGAGGCAGCAGUGAGGAAUAUUGCACAAUGGGCGAAAGCCUGAUGCAGCAACGCCGCGUGAGCGAUGAAGGCCUUCGGGUCGUAAAGCUCUGUCCUCAAGGAAGAUAAUGACGGUACUUGAGGAGGAAGCCCCGGCUAACUACGUUCCAGCAGCCGCGGUCAUACGGUCGGGGCUAGCGGUAUCCGGAUUUACUGGGCGUAACGGGUGCGUAGGGGGGUUUUUAAGUCAGCUGUGAAAGGCUACGGCUCAACCGUAGUAAGCCUUUGAAACUGGGGAACUUGAGUGCAGGAGAGGAGAGUGGAAUUCCUAGUGUAGCGGUGAAAUGCGUAGAUAUUAGGAGGAACACCAGUUGCGAAGGCGGCUCUCUGGACUGUAACUGACACUGCGGCACGAAAGCGUGGGGAGCAAACAGGAUUAGAUACCCCUGUAGUC